rnacentral:lncRNA from 1 species
UUUAUAGAUUGAGAUUAUCCAAAAGUCAAAAUUUAUACUUCUAACAAAAUUUGGAUGAUGGUAGCUUCCAAUCAAUCAGUGGUUGGUUUAGUACAUCACCAAAAAUAGUCAUCUGCUUCCAUCAAGUCAAGUACAUCAUGUAUCAUUCAAGGUACUCUGUGCACAACCAUAUGUAGAUAUAGCAUUGGGAAAACGUACUAUAUUCAGUCAUAGUGACAAGCUGUAGUUACAAAGUAGGUAAACAUGCUGGACUGAACUUUAUGUGCUCCUCAUUUUGAGGCCGAGCUUGGGGUUUAGCCUGCAUUGAACGGCAGUUAAUGUGUGGGUUUAGGUGUAUUAGUUCCACACUGCCAGCAAGCUUGGCUCAUGAGACGAAACCAGAGCACCUGGUACAUGCGCAGACCCGAAGCAUCAGCGAUUGAAGACCAAGAGCCCACGCAGGACACCAAGAGCUGGGGCAGGACGCAAACUUGCUGAGAGUCAUGUUUAUUUUCAUGACGCGUAUGGAUCGAAGCUAAAAUCGAAGCAGUUACAUUUUGGCAGGUUCAAGUUGUGUUGCUCAUCACAAUAUUCAGGCAGUGUUGAGCUGUGUUUGAUUAGCAAGCACUAGAAGCAUCAUUCCACUAGCCAAGAUGCACACAACUGUAUUAUUCACCUAUACUAUCCGAUGCAGUUUAGGAAGAACAAGUGGCAAAAUUCAGAUUAAUCAUCUUCAAUAAGGCAACUAGAUCUGUCUGAAGUUGGAACUACAAUAGUACUACGACUUGUAUACUCUUGGAAAGAUUGCAUUGAUCACCUAUUUCAGCACCUGUAGAGUGAGAGAGAAUGAUGAAUUUUUCAGAUCUUUGAACUUUGCAAAAUGAUCUAGUGAAACUGGAAAAUUCUUGCUAGAAAAUGGUAAUAUUCUUGAUUUGUUUACAGAUAAA